rnacentral:rRNA from 1 species
CUACGGGGUGCACCAGUGAGGAAUAUUGCACAAUGGGGGGAACCCUGAUGCAGCAACGCCGCGUGGAGGAUGACGCAUUUCGGUGUGUAAACUCCUUUUAUAUGUCAAGAAAAUGACGGUAGCAUAUGAAUAAGCACCGGCUAACUCCGUGCCAGCAGCCGCGGUAAUACGGAGGGUGCAAGCGUUACUCGGAAUCACUGGGCGUAAAGGACGCGUAGGCGGGUUGGAAAGUCAGGUGUGAAAUCCUACAGCUUAACUGUAGAACUGCACUUGAAACUUCUAAUCUAGAGUAUGGGAGGGGGAGAUGGAAUUAGUGGUGUAGGGGUAAAAUCCGUAGAUAUCACUAGGAAUACCUAAAGCGAAGGCGAUCUCCUGGAACAUUACUGACGCUAAGGCGUGAAAGCGUGGGGAGCAAACAGGAUUAGAUACCCACGAGUC